rnacentral:rRNA from 1 species
AUUGAACGCUGGCGGCAGGCCUAACACAUGCAAGUCGAACGAGUGGCGGACGGGUGAGUAAUGUCUGGGAAACUGCCUGAUGGAGGGGGAUAACUACUGGAAACGGUAGCUAAUACCGCAUACCAUCAGAUGUUGCCAACUGGGAUUAGCUUGUUGGGGGGGUAACGGCUCACCAGGGCUACUAUCCCUAGCUGGUCUGAGAGGUGGACCGGCCACACUGGAACGGGGACACGGUCCGUACCCUAACGGGAGGCAGCGGUGGGAAAUAUUGCACAAGGGGCGCAAGCCUGAUGCAGCCAGGCCGCGUGUUUGAAGAAGGCCUUCGGGUUGUAAAUUCCUUUCAGCGGGGAGGCGUUACCCGCAGAAGAAGCACCGGCUAACUCCGUGCCAGCAGCCGCGGUAAUAC